rnacentral:rRNA from 1 species
GGGUUUUGCCCAUGGGGCGAAACCCUGACGGCAGCCCGCCGCGUGAGGGAUGAAGGCCUUUGGGCUGUAAACCUCUUUUAUCAAGGAAGAAAAUCUGACGGUUCUUGACUAAUAAGCCACGGCUUAUCCCCUGCCAACAACCGCGGUAACUUCCGUGCCAGCAGCCGCGGUAAUA